rnacentral:rRNA from 1 species
AGGACGAACGCUGGCGGCGUGCUUAACACAUGCAAGUCGAGCGGAAAGGCCCUUCGGGGUACUCGAGCGGCGAACGGGUGAGUAACACGUGAGUAAUCUGCCCCUAGCUCUGGGAUAGCUCCGGGAAACCGGGAUUAAUACCGGAUACGACCACCUUAGACAUCUUUUGUGGUGGAAAGAAUUUCGGCUAGGGAUGAGCUCGCGGCCUAUCAGCUUGUUGGUGGGGUAAUGGUCUACCAAGGCGACGACGGGUA